UACAGAGGGGGCAAGCGUUGUUCGGAAUUACUGGGCGUAAAGGGCGCGUAGGCGGCCUUCUAAGUCGCACGUGAAAUCCCCGGGCUCAACCCGGGAACUGCGUCCGAUACUGGAAGGCUUGAAUCCGGGAGAGGGAUGUGGAAUUCCAGGUGUAGCGGUGAAAUGCGUAGAUAUCUGGAGGAACACCGGUGGCGAAGGCGACAUCCUGGACCGGUAUUGACGCUGAGGCGCGAAAGCGUGGGGAUCAAACAGG
rnacentral:rRNA from 1 species